GCCGACCUAGCUCAACGGUAGAGCACAGCUUUCGUAAAGCUGGGGUUGUGGGUUCGAAUCCCACGGUCGGCU
rnacentral:tRNA from 1 species